GACGAACGCUGGCGGCGUGCUUAACACAUGCAAGUCGAACGGAAAGGCCCUGCUUUUGUUGGGUGCUCGAGUGGCGAACGGGUGAGUAACACGUGAGUAACCUGCCCUUUACUUUGGGAUAACUUCAGGAAACUGGGGCUAAUACCGGAUAGGAGCUCCUGCUGCAUGGUGGGGGUUGGAAAGUUUCGGCGGUUGGGGAUGGACUCGCGGCUUAUCAGCUUGUUGGUGGGGUAGUGGCUUACCAAGGCUUUGACGGGUAGCCGGCCUGAGAGGGUGACCGGCCACAUUGGGACUGAGAUACGGCCCAGACUCCUACGGGAGGCAGCAGUGGGGAAUAUUGCACAAUGGGCGGAAGCCUGAUGAAGCAACGCCGCGUGCGGGAUGACGGCCUUCGGGUUGUAAACCGCUUUCGCCUGUGACGAAGCGUGAGUGACGGUAAUGGGUAAAGAAGCACCGGCUAACUACGUG
rnacentral:rRNA from 1 species